CCUACGGGUGGCAGCAGUGAGGAAUAUUGGUCAAUGGACGAGAGUCUGAACCAGCCAAGUAGCGUGAAGGAUGACUGCCCUAUGGGUUGUAAACUUCUUUUAUAAAGGAAUAAAACGAGGCACGUGUGCCCUUUUGCAUGUACUUUAUGAAUAAGGAAAGGCUAACUCCGUGCCAGCAGCCGCGGUAAUACGGAGGAUCCGAGCGUUAUCCGGAUUUAUUGGGUUUAAAGGGAGCGUAGAUGGGUUGUUAAGUCAGUUGUGAAAGUUUGCGGCUCAACCGUAAAAUUGCAAUUGAUACUGGCAGUCUUGAGUACAGUUGAGGUAGGCGGAAUUCGUGGUGUAGCGGUGAAAUGCUUAGAUAUCACGAAGAACCCCGAUUGCGAAGGCAGCUUACUAAACUGUGACUGACAUUGAUGCUCGAAAGUGUGGGUAUCAAACAGGAUUAGAUACCCCAGUAGUC
rnacentral:rRNA from 1 species